UCUGGGACAUAGCAGAUUAGUCUGGGGAAUAAUUGAAAAGGAAAUGGUUUCCUUCCUUUGCAGUUCAGUGCCAUAUAAGCAUGUUUUCCUCCAGCUUUUUAACAGUAAUAGCAUUAACGAUCGUGUGCUUAGAUUUCGGGUUUCUAGGCUCUGCUACCCUUUUAGUCUGUAUCAUGGCUGAAGCCUUUGCUAUAUUUUCUCCAUCACCAAGAAGAGUUGAUUCUCCACCUUUUUAGGCCACACACUCCUUGGGCAAUCUGAUGAAACCUAUGGAUAUCUGCAGAGUUCGAUUUUUAAAAGACAUAGGAUACCACUGUAAAGUAAAAGCACUGUGAAAAAUGCGGGAGUAUGGUAAUGUUUACACUCAUUAUGAAUGCAUCAAAUAAUCCAAUCUAAUAUUGCACUUUUGAAGUCGGAAUGAGCUAAACAUCAUCUUGGGGUCUCAGUCACACCUGCAAUGUGAUAAGAAAACACCUGUGAUUCUAUCGGUGACCAAGCCAUAGCCUCUGGGAAUCCUCCUGUGGGUUGUCACAUAUUUGUAAUGGAAGGAAAUACUAAUGUCACUGUGAGUUUAGAAAAAGUGCAACUGUGGUAUUUUUGUUUCCAUUCAGGUUCGCAGAUCCCUGAAUUCCAUCCAUGGAUUCCUGUGCUCCUGUAAAUGUCCACUGGAAGACACAAGGGUACCACUACCGUUCAUUCAUUCCUUCAUUAACUCAUUCAUUCAUUCAACAAACCUUUACCAAGUGCCUACUGUGUGUCUCAGACUAAGGACAUAGGAGGGAUCUAAAUGCAUGAAAAUGAUUAUCUCCAAGGAUCUUCCAGUGGGGGAGAAAAUGAUGAGGAACAAAACCAGCAGCCUGUCUCUGACAUGUUCCCAGGAAGACAGAAGAAAGGAAGAAAUGGGAAGGACAUGGUGGAAAUGAUUCAGCAUACUGUCUGAGACCCUGCAGUUUUAGAAGCACCCUGCUGUGGCCCAGGUUCCAUGCAAAGAAGCACCAAGUGGACUCCUGAUUGAUGGGAACACAUGAGAAGAACAGGUUCCAGCCUUCUGACAUUGCUGCCAAGCUCCAGAGGUAGAGGAAGAGGGAAGUUAGAGAUGGAAAGGGAAAGAGAAAUGAGAAGAACAAGAAUUUACAGAUCACCUGCUAUGGAGUUAGGUACUCUGUGAUUUGCUUUCCAUCUGCUACCCCAUCCACUCAACAAUCCUAUGAGGUGGGUGUUACUCCCAUUGCACAGAUGAGCAGCUCGAGGCUCAGGAAAGUUAAGUGGCUUAUGCAGUGCCUCAGAGGCAGGCCAUGACAGAGUCAGGACUUGAACCAAGGUCCGUCUGAAUACAAUGAACAGACUUGGCCCAUUCUUCACACUGGUCCGAGUCUGUGUGAAGAGAGAUGGAGGGAGGCAGUGUCUGAGGCCAUGCAAGAUCUUUUGACUUCUACUUUACUUUUGCCUGAAACUGGUUUUGGGGAGAUAAUAGAAACCAAGACUUUUUUUUUUCUAGUUCCACCUCAGGCAAGGUCCUAGCAGGGAACAGAUUUCACUCCAAACUAUUCAUCCAGGAAGAGUUUAAUGCAGGGCUGUUUACAGGGUGGGAGGCAGGAUUAAGAGGCUCAGUGGGACUGCUGAAGAUCGCAGGGACCAGCAUCAGUAACCAGCUGUUACUGCCCUUAGGGCUGCAGGGGUCGGGGUGGGCUGUAUGGAGCCAGUGAAGCUGGCACCGUGGACACAGAUGCCCAACAUGAGCUACUGUCAUGGAAGGUUGCUUUCAGGCAAGGGGAGGAGAUAGACACUGUGAGGUGAUCUCUUAUCCACCCUCCCUCCUAGCUGCCUCCCAGUGCCUUCCAUAAGCUGAGUCCAAUCAGAAGCCAGAGGGCAAGAGACUCCUGCUGUAUCUUGAGGGGCUGACUCCCUGGGUGCCUGGCAGAGCAUAGAGGGUGAAGCAAAGGUCUGUGUGUGUGCUGGGAGGGCUGAGGGGCUAGACAAUCAGCAGCACAGACUUGACCCUGUCCCCUGUCCUUGCUGAGCCUCUGACUGGGAACAUAACCAGUGACCUUGAGACUGUUUUCUGCAAAGAAAGGGGACUCUUGGGUACGCUUCAAUAGGUGCGCCGGGAAUUUCCUGGAACAGCGGUGUGCUUACCACAUCCUGAGCAAAACACUCUCUCCACCUGUCAGCACCCAGAUACGCUCAAGUGCGUGGCUGUCGCACUUGGAGAGGAAUUUGGAGCGUGUGUCUCCCGGCCACUCUCCAGCCCCUUUUUAUCAGGAGUCUUAUUUUAAAGGUAAUGUUUAUUCGCUUAAUUAGUUGAUUUUAUUAUUUACCAGCUGCUGGUCUGUCAUUUCUCUGGGUCUUGGUCUCCUCAUCUGUAAACUGGAGAAUUAUGAGAACCAAAAGAAUGUCCGUGAACAGCACUUGGAACAGCGCCAGAUGCCUAUUAAGCACGCUGUGAUUGGCAGCUCUUUUCCUCUCCAUC